GCCAGGCAUGGUUGUGUGUGCCUGUAAUCCCAGCUACUCAGGAGGUGGAGACAGGAGAAUUGCUUGAAUCCAGGAUGCAGGGGUUGCAGUGAGCUGAGAUCGCACCACUGCACUCCAGCCUGGGUGACAAAGCAAGACUCUGUCUCAA
ensembl:misc_RNA Metazoa_SRP Metazoan signal recognition particle RNA